rnacentral:ribozyme from 16 species
AUCACAUCCAUGAUUGCUUUUUGUAUCACUAGAAAAUUGUAUAUAUGUUUGUACAUCAAAUCGGAGAGCGAAGACAUAUCGAAUUAUUAUGCUAAUCAUAAG